GACCUUCGAGCGUUAAGAGUUAAGAGGCGAGCCUUGGCCGAGCAUUUCGGAUUAUCUCCAAGCUCUUUUUUUUCCCCUCAGGUAGUAAUCGAGGGCGAGGAAGGGGGAUGAAACGGAAGGAAGAGGAAAAAAACAGGCACGUCGCGUUUAUUACGUAUUUUUAAGAGGCGAACGCAAGGUGACGGUCCCUUCGGGUAACUACCGAGGAUCUAUCCACCUAACUCCUCUGGAGACCUUGGUUCCUCGUAAAGGGGUAAUCAGCCCUCGUCGAGCCGGACUUUGACUGCGAUGCCUGUCGUCCUCUCUUGCGUAGCGCGGCUCUCCUCAGUGUGUCUCUGUGACAGGGUUUAGGCCGGUAUGUGUGUCGUCACGCCGCGCUUCUGUCACUCUGUCGACGAAGUUUGUCUACGAAACACGCGGACGUCAUGUCGGUGUCGACCGAAUUCCGAGCUAUCUCCGUUCCAUCGUUUCAUAAGCUAAACGUAUUACGUUCGCGCGAGUUGUGUUCUCCGCGUUUCAGUCGUAAGUUCUACAUCCUGCGAAUGUAUAUAUAAUAUAUCGUAGACUGACAUUGCCACGAACGUAACAUACCGUAAGAUGCCUUGUAUCUGUGUAAAAUGUAGGUGUAACUAUGUAAGGUAUGGUUAGCGCGUCGCGUACGUAAAGUGUAACGAAAGGCAAGUUGCAAGUCUGUAGGGAUAGUGUUUUUGUUGAAGUUGGUGAAAGUGAAAGAUCGUGCGAAGAGGAUAUUAGAGGAAAAAAGAUUAUUGUCGCAACUAACGACUUUGUUGCGUUGGCUCAGCGUGUGCUGGAAGAGUGGUCGGAAAGCUCGAUUUAAUUAAAACGUACACAAUGGCGGACCGUUUGGGAAAUUGAAGCAACGGCAAGAAGAAGCUUGGGGACAGCUGCGAGUCGUAAUUAUUUCUAGUCCCACAUCCGACACAAGCGUGACAUGCUUGUCGAGGCCUGGCUCAGCCCAUCGUCGAGGGGUCACGCUCCAAGAGCUCGCAACUCGGAUGUACUAUCUAGUUUAGUUUAUAUGUUUCUUUGCUCGCGUGUGCACGUGGAAACUUCACUCACAGCGCUUCUGUAGCUCCGUGGAUAAAGUUUGUCCUGCGAACGUGGCCCGCCGUCGCUUUCCACUGCUCGAGCCGUUGGUUCGUUGUGAGAAACAAUCGUCGUUCGAUCGCCUAUUGCUUCGCAUCAGUGCAGUGCGUCGAUGCUGUGCGAUCUCGAGGAUGAAUCGAUGGAGAUCGAUCGUCAGGAAUAUCGCAGGUUUCGAUCCUGGAAAGGAAGAGGGAGGAAGAACGUAAAGGCAGAGCAUGGACCGGGCCAACGCGUACAAUCACGAAAGUUCGCAAACUCGUGCUUGAACGAGCCGUUCGAGCACACGAAAAGGAAACGAAAAGGGGAUGGGGCGCGCGAACGUGGACCACGAAGAGGCGGGAGAACAAGACGAAGAGGAAGGUAAGGACGGAGGGAGAGGCGAGGCGAAGGGCAUAGGGACGGGACGACAAGGAACACGGCUAUGGCAAAAGAGGUGGAAGAGGGCAAAAGUUUCGAUCGUAAAGCGAAUGGAGGCAAAAAAGAAAAAUUACAUUAAGAAACUCGAGCGUAGCUGACGCGAUGAUACUUGGCUGCUGGUUGCUGGCUCUGUCUGCUGGUAUGCGGCGCGUUGGUCGGCAAGCUGUUCUCUGUCUUUCUUUUUUUCUAUCCUCUUCUUCCUUCUCUACCCCUUUUCUACCCCUCUUUAUUCUACUAAUUUUCCCGCGCUGCUAGCAACUACGGGAACGGCGAGAGUUGCCGGAAAACGAUUCUCGAAAGAGCCCAGGCUGCGUACACGGCGGCCAGUUUCACGGAAAAUUCAACGCGAUUGAUUCCCGAUGCUUCGGUAGGAAAAGUUGAUCGGGAAAUUGAUAGUUUUUCGAUGAACGAAGAUGCUUAGGCUGUACGGUUACAGUGGAUGCGUGUUCCGAUGUACGCGAAUACGUCAGAGCGAGCAAAUUACGCGCAUAAAUUCUUCUAAGUUACGAGUGAUUCUUGCGUAUUUUCAAUUUUCAGACGUUUCGUUCGUCGGAACAUCCAUCGUGGCCGUAAUUUUACGUCGAAACUUAUCUCGAUACACUCGGAAAGACCACAAGGGGAGAAGGCAAGAAACCAGAUUUUCUAGCUUUUCUUCCUAGAAAAUAUCUUUUCCUAAACACGUGCUUCGUCGCGUUUAAAAUUUCCAAAAUGUUACUCGUCAACUUAUAGCAAAUUACGAAUAAAACUUUAUCGACUUA